UACGAAGGGGGCUAGCGUUGUUCGGAAUCACUGGGCGUAAAGCGCACGUAGGCGGAUCUUUAAGUCAGGGGUGAAAUCCCGAGGCUCAACCUCGGAACUGCCUUUGAUACUGGGGAUCUCGAGUCCGGGAGAGGUGAGUGGAACUGCGAGUGUAGAGGUGAAAUUCGUAGAUAUUCGCAAGAACACCAGUGGCGAAGGCGGCUCACUGGCCCGGUACUGACGCUGAGGUGCGAAAGCGUGGGGAGCGAACAGG
rnacentral:rRNA from 1 species